UACGUAGGGUGCAAGCGUUGUCCGGAAUUAUUGGGCGUAAAGAGCUCGUAGGCGGCCUGUCGCGUCGGCUGUGAAAACCCGGGGCUCAACCCGGGCCUGCAGUCGAUACGGGCAGGCUAGAGUCCGGCAGGGGAGACUGGAAUUCCUGGUGUAGCGGUGAAAUGCGCAGAUAUCAGGAGGAACACCGGUGGCGAAGGCGGAUCUCUGGGCCUUACCUGACGCGUGAGGCGCGGAAGCCAGGGAGCAAACGGG
rnacentral:rRNA from 1 species